CCAAGUCGUGAGGCGGAGCUAAUCCCUUAAAGCCAUUCUCAGUUCGGAUUGUAGGCUGAAACUCGCCUACAUGAAACUGGAGUUACUAGUAAUCGCAGAUCAGAAUGCUGCGGUGAAUGCGUUCCCGGGUCUUGUACACACCGCCCGUCACACCACGGAAGUUGGGGGCGCCCGAAGCCACUUAGCUAACCCUUUUGGGAAGCGAGUGUCGAAGGUGAAAUCAAUAACUGGGGUGAAGUCGUAACAAGGUAAC
rnacentral:rRNA from 1 species